rnacentral:misc_RNA from 1 species
GCCAGGCACUCUCAGCUGCAGGAAAAAUUAAAUAUCGUGUGGAAUAUCAAGGCAAAUUGGAGUGGAUUUGAAAACUUACUAUGUGUAGUCAUUACAUUUGAGAUGAGGAUUUCAGUAAAAUGACUGCAGCUACGCAGCUUGCUUGAUAUUUUUGCUUUAUUCUGAAGGACUUACAGUGUGUUUAUGUGGAGUGGUAUUGAUGGGGGAUUCAGUUUCCUGUUGACUCUGAUUUGUGAGAAGCUGGUGCCAAGAAGCGAUGAAACGCGAAACAGCAUGAUUUUGCUCUUAAAACUUCCAGUAUAGACAUGCUAUUGAACUUUCAAGAACAUCAUGUCUUGUUAGCUAUUCACUGUAUCCUUGUAUAUUGAGAAAAAUUAGAAUG